rnacentral:pre_miRNA from 1 species
UCCCUUUGACUUUAACAUGGGAGUGCUUUUCUGUGUGUUCUCAGAGAGUAAGUGCUUCCAUGUUUGAGUAGAAGU